GUAGGGGGCAAGCGUUAUCCGGAUCUACUGGGUGUAAAGGGAGCGUAGACGGCACAGCAAGUCUGAAGUGAAAUCCCCGGGCUCAACCCGGGAACUGCUUUGGAAACUGUUGGGCUGGAGUGCUGGAGAGGCAAGCGGAAUUCCUAGUGUAGCGGUGAAAUGCGUAGAUAUUAGGAGGAACACCAGUGGCGAAGGCGGCUUGCUGGACAGUAACUGACGUUGAGGCUCGAAAGCGUGGGGAGCAAACAGGAUUAGAUACCCUGGUAGUCCACGCCGUAGACGAUGCAUACUAGGUGUCGGGGAGCAAAGCUUUCCGGUGCCGCCGCAAACGCAGUAAGUAUGCCACCUGGGGAGUACGUUCGCAAGAAUG
rnacentral:rRNA from 1 species